rnacentral:misc_RNA from 1 species
AUCCAACAUUUCAGAUUAACCUCCAAAAGCAUUUAAUAGAUCGGUGAGUUUUUAUAUUCACAUGUAUGGCUUUAUUUUCUAUGUAAAUUUUCCUGUUGCUGAUAGAUGAUGCUUGAUAAAAUAUAUCAAAACACUGUCAGUUAGUAUUAGAUUUCCUUUUUUGCCUUCUUAUUUUUGGAUUUUGUAUGGUGUGGGUGUCAGGUGGGUAGGUGGGGAAUGCCUGUCAGGGGAGCAAGAGGUUGACUUUAAUUAGUUUUAUCACCUAUUGGAUUGUCUAUGGUAUAAUAGAAUCCGGAGUUUAUCAUCUUUUCAUAGGAAGUUUUUAUCCUGUUUUCAUGUAAAAUUAAAUUUAUAAUUGGUUACAAUUGGUGUGGACAUGGUAAUUGCAAAUUCUUCUUUUCUAAAUGUUGCUUCCCUCUCUGUUUCUCUUGGUUUUGCAAUGCCAAUAUGCAUGAUUUGAGGAGAUUUAUCCUUUGUUAGAUAAAACCUAACAUCUUAGUUUGCAGGCCCAAUGGAACAAAUAAAAAAUUUCGCUUAAAAUCAGCAAUUUUUUUUUAAAUGAUAAUUAAAUAUUGUCAGGUUGACUUCUAUUGACUGUCAACAUGUUUCUUCGAAGAAAGCACUCGCAGAAUCUUUAAGAGAAUGAUGCUGUACAACGAAUGCGAAGGUUAGUGAACUCAAGGAAGUUCUUGGACUUUUGUCUGGACGUAAUUUGAAGUAUCGUACCGAUGACUGCCUGAGGAGGUAUCUGGAAGCUCAAAAUUGGAAUGUUGACAAGGCACAUAAAAUGUUAACAGGGACACUUAAGUGGAGGGCAACUUAUAAGCCUGAAGAAAUCCGCUGGCAUGAAAUAUCACAUGAAGUUGAAAAAGGAAAAGUCUUCAGAGCAAAUUUUCAUGAUCGAUAUGGGAGGACUGUGCUUAUGAUGAGGCCAGGGAUGCAGAACACAACAUGUGCAGAAGACAAUAUCCGCCAUUUGGUCUAUAUUAUUGAGAAUAGCAUCCUUAACCUUGCUGAGGGUCAAGAACAAAUGUCUUGGUUGAUAGACUUCACUGGAUUAUCCUUGAGCAACAGUAUGUCUAUUGGAACAGGUGUUGAUAUCAUUAAAAUUUUACAGAAUCACUACCCUGAAAGGCUUGCUGUAGCAUUUGUCUAUAAUCCUCCAAGAAUUUUUGAGGCAUUCUGGAAGGCUGUUAAGUGCGUACUUAAUUCAAAAACUUCAGAGAAGGUAAAAUUUGUUUAUCCAAAUAAUAAAGAGAGUGAGGAGGUCAUGAGGCAUUUCUUUGAUGUUGACAACCUUCCUGGUGAGUUUGGAGGGAAAGCCACGAUGAAGUAUGACCAUGAGGAAUUCUCACGAUUGAUGGCCCAGGAUGAUGUAAAAACUGCCAAAUAUUGGGGAUUUGAUGAGAAGCCAACCCACAUUGCUAAUGCCCAAUUGAGGCCUCAGUUGGCCCCAGAGCCAACGCCUUUUGCACCACCUGCUAGUUAAUUUUGCUGGUACUGGUUAUAAAGGAAAGCGAAGACAAGACACUGAAGCUUAGAAUAUACCACCUUGAAUAAAAGGGACCAAUUUCCCUUUUUUCGAUCAAAGCAACCAGGCUAAUAUGAGUUUGACAACUGUGGUGAUAUGUACUUACUUUUAGUGCUGGAUUACAGAGAUUUAUCUACCUUUGUUUUUUUUCUUUUUUUUAACGAGAAAAAGAACUUCAUUCAAGAAAGUGUUGAUGAAUACAUUGAGGAUUUGUUGUUUGAGUUUCUGAUGAGAAAAACAACUUUAAAUAUAUUAAUUGGAGCCCAAGUUCUAACUGAUUUGAUAGAAGCCACAUAUUACUAGAAGUCCACGCUACACAUGGUGCAUUAUGCUGCACCCCACAUUUUCUUUCCAUGAUCGCAAUUGCCUCGGCUCUAAAAGAAUUUGUGAGAACUAGCAAAUAAACGUACCAACGUGGGAUAAAUUAAAUGCAGCAGAUCAAUUUUGUGUGGCAAGAGUCAUUUAUAGCAUUCAACAACAACAACAACAAAAUUCUAUAUACAGCUGCUGAAGGUAGGCAAGUGCUUGAUCAAAGUUCAUUCGAGUAAAGGCACUCAUCCACAAGU